AUUGAACGCUGGCGGCAGGCCUAACACAUGCAAGUCGAACGAGUGGCGGACGGGUGAGUAAUGUAUGGGAAUCUGCCCGAUGGAGGGGGAUAACGACUGGAAACUGUAGCUAAUACCGCGUACCAUCGGAUGAGCCCAAAUGGGAUUAGGUAGUUGGUGGGGUAACGGCGUACCUAGGCGACGAUCCCUAGCUGGUCUGAGAGGAUGACCAGCAACACUGGUACUGAGAGACGGCCCGGACUCCUACGGGAGGCAGCAGUGGGGAAUAUUGCGCAAUGGGGGCAAGCCUGAUGCAGCCAUGCCGCGUGAAUGAAGAAGGCCUUCGGGUUGUAAAGUACUUUCAGCGUGGAGGCGUUAAAUGCAGAAGAAGCACCGGCUAACUCCGUGCCAGCAGCCGCGGUAAUAC
rnacentral:rRNA from 1 species